ensembl:snoRNA LOC120096416 small nucleolar RNA SNORA17
AUUGUACCCCUAGAUGGGAUGUGUCAAAAAGUACAUCAAUAGGUGACAGUGAGCAAAGAGGUUAUGCCUAUGCUUAGUGUUCUGAGCUGUGGAGAUCUAAUUGAUUAAUAGUCAAACGUG